AUUGAACGCUGGCGGAAUGCUUUACACAUGCAUGUCGAGCGGCAGCGCGGGGCAACCUGGCGGCGAGCGGCGAACGGGCGAGUAAUACAUCGGAACGUACCCAGUUGUGGGGGAUAGCCCGGCGAAAGCCGGAUUAAUACCGCAUACGACCUGAGGGUGAAAGGGGGGGAUCGCAAGACCUCUCGCAGUUGGAGCGGCCGAUGGCGGAUUAGCUAGUUGGUAGGGUAAAGGCCUACCAAGGCGACGAUCCGUAGCGGGUCUGAGAGGACGACCCGCCACACUGGAACUGAGACACGGUCCAGACUCCUACGGGAGGCAGCAGUGGGGAAUUUUGGACAAUGGGGGCAACCCUGAUCCAGCCAUUCCGCGUGAGUGAAGAAGGCCUUCGGGUUGUAAAGCUCUUUCGGCAGGAACGAAACGGUUUGCCCUAAUACGGUGAGCUAAUGACGGUACCUGAAGAAGAAGCACCGGCUAACUACGUGCCAGCCGCCGCCGUAA
rnacentral:rRNA from 1 species